rnacentral:misc_RNA from 1 species
GGGGGUUUGUUUUUGCAGGCUUUCGGAAAGGAAGGUCGGCUCCCCUGAAACGCAUUAGUGGCAUCUGAGCUGCUGCUAUUAGGUGUGAUAAUUAUCUAUGCCUUUGGUAUGCUGCAUGAACAGGUCGCGCUGCUUAUAACGCUUGAAUACUAUUUGACAAAUCUGACCUCAAAUCAGGUAGGACUACCCGCUGAACUUAA